GCCAAUAUUCUAGUAAUAUACAUGCUAAUAAGCAACUAAUUAAUAGCAUGAAUUGGUCCUUAAAAUAAAGCGUUAUUUUAUUUUAUGAAAUGGAACGGAAUGGAAUGGAAUAGACCAGUGCAGAUGCACUCUUAGAAUGCAUUACCUGUGAGGAAUCUCUAUGAAUUACAAUUCAGUAAAUUCCUCUUCCUGACAUUCCAAUUCAACUUCCUCUGGUGUGUGGCCAAUUCAGUUCAAUUCCAACUCAUGAGUUUGAAGGCAGCCAAUUAUUCCAAACUUUGACUUAUGUUGAUGGAUGAUAGCAAUCAAAUUGAGUUACUUCUCAGUAAGGCGUACAAAGGGCUGACAACAUCACUUCACCCUUAAAUGUGCUGUAACUACAUCCUGUAAUAUUUGCAGAGAGAGAAUCUGCUGUCUUGGCAACAGAAGCCUCUUUUGAAAUGGGUCCCCUCGGCAGCUAUGAAUAUAUGUUAGACCAGUCUGGUAGCUCUGCAGGACUAUGUGAAACAAAGAGAGCGAGAUAAGAGAGCGCUAGAGGUGCACUGAGUAAAAAAAGACUAAAAUAAAUGAGUAGGACAAUGGAUGACAGAGCAGAAUAACAGUCGAGGGACAGUUCCACAAGAAUGAGAGGAAGAGAUAAAAUUGUGAACGAGUGCAGAAGAAAAAAAAAUGUAUGAACAAGAAUAGGAGCAUGAUAGAGUGAAUGGAAGUAAUGCUCUGGCAGAGAGAGAGAAGACUGUUGAUGCAGAAACGAUUGAAUUGUAAGAGAACAGAACACAUAAGACCGCACAUACUCAGCCAUCCAUGACACACACACACACACACCGCCACGGGCACGCGGCACAUCCUCAGCCGCUCUGUGCAAUUACUGACAUCAUUCUCAGCUCUGAGAACUCCAUACAUCGGACUCAUCUUAACCCACCCAUAAUACCAAACCGACCUCCGAGAGAUAGAGAAAUGAGGACCAGAGAGCAUGAUUCUAUAUGACACUCGUGCUCUCACGGCCAGCGUGAGGCCUUGAAGAAGCUAGUGGGCUGUAGCUUGGAGCUAAGGCUUAGUGACAUGGGUAGAGGAGGAGGGAGGAGGGCUUUUUUGUUGGGAGAAAUGGAGGUUGGAGCACAAGAGCAUGGCACAGACAGUUUGUGACACGAGAGGCGGGCGCUGUCUUCCAUGCACUGGCGGUGAAAUGCACCCGCAUGAGGUGUGAAGGGAAAUUUCUAUUUGUUGUCAUGGAAACUGCCAGUGUGAAUUGUCUGGAGCAAAAUUACAAGUGGAGGAGAGGAGAGGAGAGGAGAGGAUAGGAGAGACGAGGAGAGAAGAGAAGAGGAGAGACGAGAAGAGAAGAGAAGAGAAGAGAAGAGAAGAGAAGAGAAGAGAAGAGAAGAGAAGAGAAGAGAAGAGAAGAGAAGUCACAUGUGCUUUGCCCCCAAACAGUGAGUCAAGUCACAAAUGAAUUUCUCAUGGAUGCUUAAUUUUCACGGACUGCAAAGACAAGCUCAUUUUGGCCCCCGAACCAAGAAGUCCUUGCUAAAAAUGGCCUGACUUUUUAAAGAUCUUGCAUCUUUUCUUCCUUUUUCAUGGACAGAAAUAGAAUAAAAUGGCUUGGGGGGAAACGAAAGGCAUCCUCCUGUUGGAAUACCGCGCAGGCUCCGCCUGUAAGCUUGGGCUUUGCAUAAAAUGAGCAUUGAUAAAUUUAGCAGACUUACGUAACCAUUCCUUCCUCAAAUUCAAACUGAUGAGGCAGGGAAAGAUAUUUAUUUCAUUCUACAGAGCUUCUAUGCUAAUGAAUAGUGGAGAGGCUUUGAAUGUGUCACACUGUGCUGGCUAAGUGACAGGCGGAGAGGGGCUGGGAUUGGACUUGGCUAAGCUCAGAUCCACAUGCUGUCUCUGUGAUGAACAGGACUACCUGCGAAGGGUCUGCCGCUUGGCCGUGGAACGCUCACGGAAAUAAAUAAAUAAAUAAAUUCAUAUAAAAAGCUCUUA